GAGGUUUGCCCUUCGUGGGCGUUUCCUCCCUAGACUCGGGCCGCUCUCACAAGGGCGGCCCUUUUUUUCUGAUGGC
rnacentral:sRNA from 1 species